AAUGGCCUGAGACCUUGCAUUGCUCCUUGCUGCACAGGAGCUCUUCCAGGAGGCUCUCUCUAUAUUAAGAGGGAGACAAGUCCCUGGAGGCAUGGAGGAGACAAAGUGAGAAGAAUAAAGCAAUCCUCUUGGAGCAGGCGAAA